rnacentral:rRNA from 1 species
CCUACGGGAGGCAGCAGUGAGGAAUAUUGGUCAAUGGGCGGGAGUCUGAACCAGCCAAGUAGCGUGAAGGAUGACUGCCCUAUGGGUUGUAAACUUCUUUUAUAUGGGAGUAAAGUGUUCCACGUGUGCGGUUUGGUAUGUACCAUAUGAAUAAGGAUCGGCUAACUCCGUGCCAGCAGCCGCGGUAAUACGGAGGAUCCGAGCGUUAUCCGGAUUUAUUGGGUUUAAAGGGUGCGUAGGUGGAUGCUUAAGUCAGUGGUAAAAUUGUGGGGCUCAACCUCGUCGUUCCGUUUGAACUGGGUGCCUUGAGUGGGCGAGAAGUACGCGGGAUGCGUGGUGUAGCGGUGAAAUGCAUAGAUAUCACGCAGAACUCCGAUUGCGAAGGCAGCGUACCGGCGCCCAACUGACGCUGAAGCACGAAGGCGUGUGUAUCGAACAGGAUUAGAUACCCGAGUAGUC